rnacentral:rRNA from 1 species
ACGUAGGUGGCAAGCGUUGUCCGGAAUUAUUGGGCGUAAAGGGAGCGCAGGUGGGAAUGUAAGUCAGUCUUAAAAGUGCGAGGCUCAACCUCGUGAUGGGACAGAAACUACAUUUCUUGAGUGCAGGAGAGGAAAGUGGAAUUCCUAGUGUAGCGGUGAAAUGCGUAGAUAUUAGGAGGAGCACCAGUGGCGAAGGCGACUUUCUGGACUGUAACUGACACUGAGGCUCGAAAGCUAGGGGAGCGAACGG